CCUACGGGGGGCUGCAGUGGGGAAUAUUGCGCAAUGGGGGAAGCCCUGACGCAGCAACGCCGCGUGAAGGAUGAAGGUUUUCGGAUCGUAAACUUCUUUGAUUGGGGACGAAGAAAGUGACGGUACCCAAAAAACAAGCCACGGCUAACUACGUGCCAGCAGCCGCGGUAAUACGUAGGUGGCGAGCGUUGUCCGGAAUUACUGGGUGUAAAGGGCGUGUAGGCGGGAAUGCAAGUCAGAUGUGAAAUACCAUGGCUCAACUGUGGGGCUGCAUCUGAAACUGUGUUUCUUGAGUGCUGGAGAGGAAAGCGGAAUUCCUAGUGUAGCGGUGAAAUGCGUAGAUAUUAGGAGGAACGCCGGAGGCGAAAGCGAUUCUCUGGACUACAACUGACGCUGAGGCACGAAAGCGUGGGGAGCAAACAGGAUUAGAUACCCUUGUAGUCACUA
rnacentral:rRNA from 1 species